rnacentral:rRNA from 1 species
AUUGAACGCUGGCGGCAGGCCUAACACAUGCAAGUCGAGCGAGAAAGGUCUUCGGACUGAGUACAGCGGCGGACGGGUGAGUAAAGCGUAGGAAUCUACCUGGUAGUGGGGGAUAACUUGGGGAAACUCAAACUAAUACCGCAUACGCCCUACGGGGAAAGGCGGGGGACCGUUCGGGCCUCGCGCUAUCAGAUGAGCCUGCGUAGGAUUAGCUAGUUGGUGAGGUAAAGGCUCACCAAGGCGACGAUCCUUAGCUGGUCUGAGAGGAUGAUCAGCCACACUGGGACUGAGACACGGACCAGACUCCUACGGGAGGCAGCAGUAAGGAAUAUUGGUCAAUGGAGGCAACUCUGAACCAGCCAUGCCGCGUGCAGGAUGACGGCCCUAUGGGUUGUAAACUGCUUUUAUACAAGAGAAAACCCGAGUACGUGUACUCGGUUGAUAGUAUUGUAAGAAUAAGCAUCGGCUAACUUCGUGCCAGCAGCCGCGGUAAAGU